GGCGCUGCCCGAAAUGCUUGGAAGGCUAGUUGGGGAGGGUAGCGCCUGCUAAGCGUUGCUCAUGCCCGAGACAGGCGAGAUCGUUCAUGGGCUUUGUUUGGCUUUGCGGCCUUGCAUCUGCUCCUCUGGCGGUUUCGUGCUGGGCGAACCUCUCGAAGCAUCACACGGUCAUUGCCCACCACAGCUCGUUGCUUGGUCACCCGCUGAGUCUUGAUGUGCAGGAUGUUUCAUCCACUUUCCAGGCUAUUGAAGUUGACGCGUGGAUGGGCAGAAUCCCGCACGGAGGGCUUGUCCGUGCGUGGGUUGUGGCUCGCGUCACGCCUGUGAAAUCUGUGGCUCUGACUGCCGACUUGUGGACGUGGUGUGAUCCAUUCGGCGACGAAGCUGCAAUUGGCCAGACACAUACAGCUCCCAGCCCUCUCGUCAUGUGCCGACGGAGGGUACCUGCGGGCAGGCUGCUUGCGUCGCAUGCGAAGCAUACGCUCAGCCUGGGAUGCUGGUCUGAUUGGUGAUGUUCUGGCGACCAUCGGUCACGUCUCGAAACACGGGCCAAGGAGUAUAGCAUGUGUGCAAGUCUAAGGGUCUCACAAAACCCGAGGGCGAAGUGAAAGCAAAGGUGUGGCGGCGCAUUGCUGUGCCGUCAGCCAUGUCAAAGUGGUUGCUAGUACCGAGCUGAUCCUGCUUUCCCAUGCUGGGGACAGGCGCAAGCUCCGGGCUCACGAUUGUUGGUUCGGCAAGCUUCUCCUUCACGGGAGUUGCGGGCUGGACGGUGAGCACCGCGGAGCACAUAUGCUAUGACCCGAAAGAUAGUGAACUAUGCCUGGCGAGGGUGAAGCCCCAGGAAACUGGGGUGGAGGCCCGUAGCCGUUGUGACGUGCAAAUCCAUGGCGUCAG
rnacentral:rRNA from 1 species